rnacentral:rRNA from 1 species
CUUUAUAAAUUUAAUUUAAUUUAAUUUUAUUUGUAAGUUAAAAAUCUUACAAAUUUAUAAAAGACGAGAAGACCCUAUAGAAUUUUAUAAUUUUUUAUAACUUAAUUUGGUUGUUUAAUUCUUAUUAUUUAUAAUUAUUAUUUUAUUGGGGAUAUAUAAAAAUUUAAUUAAAUUUUUUUUUUAUUAUUUUAUAGAUAAAUAAAUUUUAAAAAUUAAUAUUAUUAUAUUUAAAUUAAAUUACCUUAGGGAUAACAGCGUAAUAAUUUUUAUAAGUUCAUAUUGGUAAAAUUUU